CAGAACAGCUGGCCCCAGCCCCUGCCCCUGCCCCAGCCCAAGCACAGCUUGUCCCUAGAGUUGCACCAAUCUUCAUUGAUUUGGUGCUCAAAAUAAGAUGCCCAUUGCUCAUCUGGUUAGACUGAGUCUAUGCCCACCAAGAUGACUGCCUAAGUCACGAUUUUCCCAGGUUAAAACAAAGAAUUCUUGCACCUUAUAUUAAAUGUUACUACCCUAAAGAAGGAAAAGCCAUUAUUCUGUCAUUGUUGCAGUAGUCCCAGCUCCAAUAUUCUGGUGUCGGUGGUCUUUUUUACAUACAGUGGUUGACCACCUGAAACUCUUUGCCGAGUUAUAUUCUAAUUAUCCAUAAUCUACCCUUUGGAUUAGACCUCAGUCCAAACCCUAUUUGCACUCAGUAGGGGGACUUCAAAGUCUUAACAUACAGUUUAUAUGCUCAGUCCCAGUUGUCCUAGCCUUGCCUGCUAAGGGGGAAGAUACCCUAUUUUCAUUACUGUGCUGGGGACUGCUUCUCUUGAAUUAAUGGUGUCCAUAAUUAUAUCUGAUGAGCAGAAAACCAGAUCUUAUUCUGAUUUAUUUGCCGUGCUGGGGAUCCAACCUAGAGCCUAGUAUAUGCAUGCUAAGUACCAUCACUGAGCUAUAUCUCUAGCUCUUGGUAUUUUGAGACACAGUCUCUAUUAAGCAACUAAGGCUGGCCUGGAACUCACAACCCUCUUGCCUCCCAACUCCCUCCUGCCUUGCUCUUCGGAGGAGAGACAUGCUAGCACUCCUGGUUGUCAUGUCCUAUUAAUGUGCAUUGGCUGUAUUUCUUACUGUAACUGAGCACUGGGUUAAAAAAAAAAUCAAACCCUGACCUUUGUCAUUUCUCUUGUAGUCUACAGUGGAUAACCUCCACCUAGUUAAUUGUGAAUGAUAGUAAUUGACUAAUCAAGUCUCUUGUGCAAGAUUUUAUAUUAAUUACCUACAUUUUAUAUAUUGGAACAUUAUAUAUGGAAAAUUCCAAAGUUCAUAGUUCUCCCCUAAAGUAAUAUUUACCUUUUUACAUGAAAACAACCUCAAAUGGGUUCUGCAGUUGCUUGAACUCAGGGCCUUGGACAGGCCAGGCAAGCCCUAUACUACUGAGUGAUAUCCUCUUAGUUUUUGAAGACAGGAUAACUCAGCCUGGCCUGAAAUUCAUGAUCGCCCUUCCUGAGAUUACAGGCAUGCGUGUCACCAGGCCUGGCCCAAACUGGAACUCUUAAAUAUGUAUAUUUCCAGUUGCUAAUGGUCCCUUCCAAUAAGCUAAGAUCUUGACUUCUGAAUGUGAAGGUGCACUACCCACAUGAAAUCUUUCUGCUGAAUCAUAAAUACCCUUGUAUAACAGCAAAGGCGUGGUUUCAUACCACUUCACUGAAUAUAAUUAAUAGCAGUCUAUGCCUCCACAUGUUAAAGUAAGGUCUUGUUUCCUUUCACCAUUUGCACUACUGCUGAGGCUCUUACCAACCUGAGAUUCACUCUCUGGGGUUUUUGGAGGCAUAGUUUUACUGUGUGGCCCAGGCUGGCCUCAAACUUAUGAUUCUUUUGUCUCAGCCUCUCAGUUUCGGGAUUACUUGUAUGCAUCACUGUGGCCUGCACUGUCUCUGUUCAUGUGCAUACUUAAUUUUUACGCCACUAGUAGGCGCCAGUAAAGACUCGAGUCACAAUAUAUUGCAGUCGGAGGCGCCCACUACUGAAGAUCCUUAAACUUGUAAGUGUUGUACACAUUGUCAGAAUCCACAGCUGUGCCUGUUAGAUCAAGACUCUUCUCUAUAUUAAAACAGAGAAGACUAUCAUGAAGGCCUUUUCUUGAGACUGAACUGUACAUAACCAUAAUGGCAAUUAUUAAUGAUUCUUUCAAGGUUGAGUUGUCUCUGUUUAUACCCUUUUUGCUUUUACUGAAAGAGGUGCUGUUCACUUACGGGCCUUUACUCAAAGUGUUGAUACAUAAUAUCAACUACAUGGAGAUCCAUUUCACACUGCCUUUGAAGUAUAACAAUAAUUAUACUUCAUGCCUUAAAGGCUCCAUUUUGAGGCCAGCUGAUAUAUCUGAUUGUAUUGGUCUAUGUUUCUAUGCACUGGAAGAGGAAGUCAUCUCCCACCCUCCUGCCUUUCCCUUUCAGCAGGGAAUGCACUGUCCAGAAGGCCUUUAUAUUUGAACAGUGAAGAUGCACAAUUGUAAUAAGCAAAAUCAUGCACCUUGAGUAUUAAUGUACAUAGCUACAUGGUUCAUUUCAUUUGAAUAAGAUCUUACUCUCAGACCCCAUUACAGUACAAGGACAGCUAAAGUCUUCAUUGGCUUCUUAUUCCUGGACAAAAUAAUAAUUUACAGGAGGGAGUGUUCACUACUUUAAGUGUCAAGUAUGUGGUUUAAUUGACCACAACUGUAUUCCUUGGAUGUUAAUAGACAUGACUGGGACAUAGGUCAUCCUGUUUAAUUAAGGUUGCUGACCUGUAAGUCCCCUUUUCUUGGCCUGUCAAUAUGCACAAUUGUAUUUGUGUGGGUUGUUGUGUCCCAGUCAAGGACAUCCCACCUUUGACUUCCUCUGCCUUUCCAUAAGUGGUACCCAGUGCUUAAAAUCUUUACAUGUGGACAAGUAAUAUGUGUAACUUCAGUGGUCCACUGCCCUAUUAACUUAAAGAGCCUUGUAGCUCUUUUGUGCUAUGGCAGGGGAACUGUUUUCUCCCAAGACUCCUGUUAGUAGACCAUUAAUAUAUAUAUAAUUGAAAUUUUCUUGGUCAUACCCCAUCACCUUCCCUUUCGAUCAACAAAGGCCUUCUUCUUUUAGACUGUUCAUGUGUACAAUUGCAUUUGCUCCUACUUUGUGCACUAGAAAAGGAUCUUAGAAGUAGCAGAAAGUACUUGCUGCUUUCACUUGGAAAGUUCACCUGCCCAAAUACAAUUCUCUAAGUACAUCUUAAAUCAAAACCCCAGUGCUCCUUUCAGAUUUCAAUAUGCACCAAUGCAACUGCCCAUUCCCACUUUAGUUAGAGGAGUUCAUCUCCUCACACUCCCUGCACAUUGAAGGCAUGUUAACUAUAUAUGAGCCUCUCUUGUAAAUGAAUAUUAAUAUACAUAAUUAUGCUUAUCUUUGGAUCCAUCUGGUAGAAAAAGACCUUAUGUUCCUACCAGUACUUAGUGAUUGCUGCUGAGGAGCUCUAUGUAUAACCUCAGCUCUUGGACAAUUAAUGCAAAGCAAUGCCAGUUAUCAAGACUACUGGACAUUCAACAGGACCCCUGUACUCUCUUUGUCUAACUAAAGCCCCCUGGAUUGUAAUGUGAAUAUUUGCAAUGAAGGCAUGCCAGAGAUAAUGUGUCGUCCACGCACUUCUCUGCACUACUGCAGGUGCUGCUGACCUCCCUACAGCCUCUCCUGAGACUGUUCAGUGGUAAUUAUAAAUGGCUUUUAUUUGUCCCUUAAAACUUACCUUGGGACUGACUGCUAAUAAGCACAAUGACAAUCAUCAAUGGUCUUUUAUCCUCCUAGAUCUUGUUAAGCAAGCUUCCCAUAUAAAAUAUAACACUACAGUGUUCCAUGGACUUCUGCAUCAAACAAUGCCCUGUAUUUCUAGUCUUUCUGCAUUGCUUUGGUGCCUAAAAUCCCUGAGUUGUCAUGCUCUCAUGCUUUCCACAAAGUCCUCUUCCUGCCCCUCUGACCCCUGAACCCUUCUGACCAACUAUGAAGGCUCACAAUCCAGGAUUGUGCUCUCAUUUCCUUUGCCCUGCCCCUUUGCUGGGCAAGGCCCUUUCCCAUGGCCUUAAAAACUUAACAAUCCUAAGCUUCAUUGCUUUGUACAGCUGGAAUGCUUCAGUUGUCCUUUCCUUGGUCCCAUCUGGUAGACACAACCCCUCCACUUCCCUUUGCAUUACUUCUGACUAAUGCCAAGUACCCCAAGCUCCACAGUGUCCUUAAUGGACACAAUACUGUCCGACAUUUCAGCCCCAGCCCCAAAUCUCCCUGCCACGUUGAGUUUGUGCAGUGCUGACCAUCAAAGCAGCAGGCUGGAACUAGGUAGAUAAGCCUUCGUCCUUCCUACAUCUAUUAAUUAUCCCAGUUUCAAUUACUGCCACAUUACUGCAGAUGCUGCUGCACCUGCCCAACUUUAAUACUGCUUUAGUGAGCAAAAUAUUUAAGGCAAGUCAAGCUCAGGGAGCCCCUUUAUUUAGGGCUUCCUUUACACAGUAUCAACUGAAAAUCGUCUCCCAGGGGAGGAAGGUUCGUACUUGGUUUAUUUGCUUCCUUCCGGAGCUGAUUUGCCUGGUUAAAAACCUCAACUCUUCUCUUUUGUAUAUUGCUAUCAUACAGUGCCAAUUGCCAGGAUGCAACCAGAAAAGCUGCUGUUCACUUGGCAUUUGGAUUACAAAAUGGGCUGAUCAUCUGGUCAUUAAUUUAUUGAUGCCAAACAAUGUAUUUAUACUAGGUAUCAGAUGCAUUUAUCUGGUGCAAUUAUCUGAUCAUAUAUCUGAUGACCAGUGUCUCAUUUUACUGAGGUGGUAGAUCUGUGGAUAGAACACUGUGACUCUUGCUUACUUCAGUAUUUCCAAAGGUGCUCAAGUGGACUAAUAAGCUCAGUCUCUUUGGCUGUACUAGUAUUGGAAAACUAGUGUUUGUUUGGGCAUUGUUGUGAUUUACUUCUAGGAAAACUAGUUAUGCUUUACUUGGAGUACUAGUCCAUUAUUAUAAAAUGAGAGUCCAUAAUGCUAAGGUGCUUUUUGUUCAUAAUUGGAAGUAACUAAAGAACCAUCAGCCUGAAGUGUUCAGGGUGUUUCAUGGCCACUGAGAAUUUAAUAGGAAACUGCUGAAACAAAUGAUUCAGCCAUCACAACUGCAGUUUGUCACCACUGAACAAUAAUACUCCUCUUCUGAGAAGGAUAUAAAAACAUCCACCCAGCUCCAGGUCCAGCUGUAAGAAGCUAUAAGAAGAAUCCUCAGAAAGUUCUAAGACUCUCUGGCUUUUUAGAAUACCAUGUUCCCUAGAAAAACUUCGUUGCUUUGCAGUGUUAGUGACCUCUUCCCUUUGAGGAUCGCUAGGUGGAGAUGGGGCAUGAGGAUCCUCCAAGGGAAAAGCUCAUUAUCACUCAGCAACAAUACUAGGUCAACAGGUUUUACUAAUGUACGUUCCUGGGUCCAAAUAGGAAGAUGAAGAUUCACAGAUACACACAUCAAGAUGGCUCCAUCUGCUGCUGAAUCAUUAUUCUUCUCAAAGGCAGUACAGAAAGUGGAAUCUUCAGCAUGAUCAAAAACUGUGAACACGACAGGACACUGGCUUGCCUAUCUGAACGUCAACAUGCCUGGCAUACUACCAUUUUAAAAUAACAGAAUGGAGUCUCUCACUGUAUUUUGUUCCUUGCGAUUUUCCUCCUGCGAUAGUCAAUCCUGUUGCUUCCUGCCCCCCCCCCCCAUGUAAUUCUCUGUCUGUUUCUUGCUUGAGUGGUCUUUUAAUCUUUAAAGAAUGUCAUACCCAUUUCCAUAUUCUCUUGCUAAUGUCUUUAUGUCUAUAUGUGCCUCUUUCUGACCUGUGCCUUUUCUGCUUUUGUUCCUAAGUGUGAUGUACUUUGUCUUACAUGUAUGUUACUUUUGUCAUUUGUUACCACUCCUCUUGGUUCUUCUCUUUCUGGCUUCUCUUUCGUAUCUCCUGUGUGCUUGCUUUCUCUUUGCUUAUUGUGCCUGCCCUCAUUUCUUUUUCUCUUUGUAAUGUCAGUCUCUUUUCCUUUUCCUAUUUGUAAAAUCUGAUUGUUUAUCCCUCCU